rnacentral:rRNA from 1 species
UGACGGCACCCAAAGAAUAAGCACCGGCUAACUUCGUGCCAGCAGCCGCGGUAAUACGAAGGGUGCAAGCGUUACUCGGAAUUACUGGGCGUAAAGCGUGCGUAGGUGGUCGUUUAAGUCCGUUGUGAAAGCCCUGGGCUCAACCUGGGAACUGCAGUGGAUACUGGGCGACUAGAGUGUGGUAGAGGGUAGCGGAAUUCCUGGUGUAGCAGUGAAAUGCGUAGAGAUCAGGAGGAACAUCCAUGGCGAAGGCAGCUACCUGGACCAACACUGACACUGAGGCACGAAAGCGUGGGGAGCAAACAGGAUUAGAUACCCUGGUAGUCCACGCCCUAAACGAUGCGAACUGGAUGUUGGGUGCAAUUUGGCACGCAGUAUCGAAGCUAACGCGUUAAGUUCGCCGCCUGGGGAGUAC